UCAUGCCUCGUGUCUAAAAGUCCAGUUUAUACUCAGGCACAGUCCUUCAGGUCCAUGGACUCUAAAGCUCAAGGAGUUGGGCCGUAAAAAUAUAUUGCAUAUGUGGUCUAUUCUACACCUCCUCUGUAGUUGGACUACAACCUGAGAGUAAAACUCUCGAGAGUUGCUCUAUAGUUUCGUAUAUACGAGACACGCCAGGCCCUUUACCCCUUCUUGCUUAACUAUGUGCGGAGUUUCGAGGCUCGACUCAACUAGGACCACUGUCAGAUAACUAUUCUCCCGAGACGAAUUGGUUUCGACUGUGAGAGUAGCUAUCUGUCAGUGGCCCUAGUACAACUCUAGCCACGAAACUCCGUAUACAGCUAGGCAAGACGCGGGCAGGGGUAAAGGACCUGGUGGAUCUAUAGUUAUAGAGCAACUCUCGAGAGUUUUACUCUCAGAUGGACAUUCGUCUUUAUUCUUACACCGUGGACGUGGACAUGGAUCGUGAAUCUACUUACAGACGCAUGUGUGCUGGAUGUUGAUUGCCACAAACAUCAGAGUUUAGCUUCCGCGGUUUUGUGCCAUCUGUCAUCAUCUUAGAUUUCACUUCUCUUGCCAUAUAGACGCUACUACUUACUCACCUCCAAUUACACCAACCAUCUCCAUUUUUUACAAGUGUUAAUGUUUAAUAUUUAGUUUUCUCUGUAUCAAUAACAUUAUUUUAAAUUUUCAUUUACCAUGCCAAAGAAAGGUGGAUUUAUUUGUGCCUAUCGUCCUUGUCCGAAUAGCACCGGCCAUGGGGUAUCACAUUUUUGCUUUCCAAUGGAUCCAAUUAGAGCUAAGGAGUGGAUAAUUGCUUGCGAUAGAAGAGAUUUAGAAAAAUAUUCAACAGAACAUGUGUCAAAGCAUUAUAGGUUAUGUGAAGAGCAUUUCGAAGAUAAAUAUCUAAUGAGAGGCAAAAUAAGAAAAAACUUGACAAGUAAUGCAGUGCCAACAAUAUUUUUAUGUGAAGAACAAUCAGAGGUCCAUAGAGGAACAAUUGGCCAAGAAUUAAUUAUUUCAAGUAAGUAGCUGCUUUCUAGAACUAGAUCUUUUUGUGUAGUCAUUACUCUUUAAGAUUUUGUUCAGUUAUUUUUACUAGUGUUAUUUCUACAUAACUAGCUAAAGUAUAUAAUGCAUGUUUAUUAAUUAAAAAUGUAUGGAUAUCUUAGCAACUUAGUAUACACUGUUGUAUAUCUUUCUAAAGUUUUCUUUAAGUCACAAACAAGUUGACACUUGAUGUUAUUACUGUGAACAGUUACUCUUUUAUAACCUGCACAUAUUAUAUAUACAGUAAGGAGCAUAACUGAACCAGUAACUAUAAGUUUUGUAUAAAUCAUUAUUUAUUGUUAAGAAGAUAGGAGAAUAUUAAAAAAUAAAUGUUAUAGUCAUUUUUAUAACAGCCAGAAGUGACACAAGAAAUUUUUUCAAUAACUAAUAUCUCCUCAUUCAGCAAUGACAAUAAAAAUAGAUUGACUCGGUUUUGCACCGGUCCAUAGAAGGAAUCUUUACGUGGAAUGUUCUAGCAGUGUGUUUAUAUCUAGCAGUUUUGUACGUUUACAAAAUGUUAUUGCACGUCUUAGCAUUCAGUUUCUCGCAAUCAGUCGAACGGAAAAGCACGCAAGUGAAUAAGAAAAAAAUACUGUAAAAAUAUAUUAUUAAAUGUUGGAGGAAGACUAAAAAAAUUAUCACUGCAUGCUGAAUGAAGAAUUAUAUGGUUUGUCACAUUUGGUGAAGCUUCAAGCGCUACUGUGGUUGCGAAAUUAUUAAAAGAAGAUACGAAUAUACAAAUAAGCAAGUGGACAGUACGGAGAACCCUCAAAGGAGCUGAGUUUAGAAGUUUAAAAAAAAAUAGAAGCCAAUGUUAUUGAAGAAGAAUAUUAAACUUCAUUUGGAAUUUGCCAAAAAAACCAAAACAGACGAGACCAAAAUUAACAGAAUUUGUUCAGAUGGUAUGUCUUGGUACUGGAUUUGUAAAAAUGAAAGGCUUAAAUCACGACAUGUAAAGCAGACGGUAAAGCAUGGAGGUGGAUCCCUAAUGUUUUGGGGGUGCCUAACAGCAUUUGAUGUUGGAUCACUGCAUCAAAUUAAUGGCAUCAUGAAUCAGUACAUGUACAAGGAUAUUUUACAAGAUCAUCUCAUAGAGGCUGUUAAUAAUAUGCCUUUUUAAGAAGAAAAUGUUAUCUUCAUGCAUAAUCGAGACUCUAACCACACUGCUAAAAGUGUAAAAAAUUGGCACAAUACUAACAAAUUCUCUGUUCUGGAUUGGCCUGCGCAAAGCCCGGACCACAACUCUAUAGAGAAUCUAUGGGAUUUACUAAAAAGACGACUUUGGGAUUCAUAUGACUCCCAACCAACUUCAAUCACAGAUUUGUGUAAUAGAAUUCAAGAACAGUGGGAACAAAUAUCUCCGGAUAUUGCAGAAAAUUAGUAGAAAGUAUGCCAAAACGAAUUAGUACAGUUUUGCAAGCAAAAGGAUUGUGGACGAAAUAUUAAAAAUAAAGAAUACAUUAAAUAUUGUCAA